AGACUUUAGAAAACGCAGUUUCAAACAAACUCCGUUUGAGCAUAGAAAACGCAGAAGCAAUGAAAACGCAGCCGUGAACUCCACCAUUUCCGCUGCAGUUGAAACUGUCUGCCACCGUGAUAACGCAGCUACUCUCUGGCUUCUCUGGCUUCGCCGCCUCACCUCCGUCAGUGAAGAGUCUUGCAUCUCACAACAGUAAUGGCAAAGAGAAAGUGUUUCCCAAAUCCAUUAAGAUCAACACUUCAAGGUUCAACUUCAACCAAUUCUUUACAUCAAGUUCCACCAGAAGGCAUGCCAAAAAGUUACUUUGAUGAUUGCUUUGAGACAUUCUUAAAGCCUCGAUUUAAAUUUAUGACUAUGACUACUGAAGCCCUUGCAAAGAGAUAUUGCAAACUUAGCAUUUCAAAGAAGUGGGCUGCACAUUAACAAAAUUUGUGGGGUACCUUCUAUGAUCCAUCAAAAACCCGAGAUGAAAUCUUAAGUAACGUUCCUGAUGGUGUAGACCCAAUUCAAUGGGCUCAGUUUGUUAACUAUCGUCUUAACCCAGAAACACAGGUAAAACUUGAUUGCUUUGAUCGAUUUAUUGUUGUGGUUAAUCAAAUUAGAAUGAUCUGAUACCAUAUUAGAACGAGGAAGAAGAUGAUAGAUUCAUCUCUGUUUUACAGAGAGAAAAGUGUG